GAUGAACGCUGGCGGCGUGCCUAAUACAUGCAAGUCGAGCGAACGGACGAGACUCUUGCUUCUCUGAUGUUAGCGGCGGACGGGUGAGUAACACGUGUAUAACCUACCUAUAAGUCUGGGAUAACUUCGGGAAACCGGAGCUAAUACCGUAUAAUAUUUUGAACCGCAUGGUUCAAAAGUGAAAGACGGUCUUGCUGUCACUUCUAGAUGGAUCCGCGCUUCAUUAGCUAGUUGUUAAGGUAACGGCUUAUCAAGGCAACGAUGCAUAGCCGACCUGAGAGGGUGAUAGGCCACACUGGAACGGAGACAGGGUCCAGACUACUACGGGAGGCAGCAGUAGGGAAUGUUCCGCAAUAGGCGAAAGCCUGACGGAGCAACGCGACGUGAGUGAUGAAGGUCUUCGGAUCGUAAAACUCUGUUAUUAGGGAAGAACAUAUGUGUAAGUAACUGUGCACAUAUUGACGGUACCUAAUCAGAAAGCCACGGCUAACUACGUG
rnacentral:rRNA from 1 species